rnacentral:rRNA from 1 species
AGGGAGUUUGAUCCUGGCUCAGGAUGAACGCUGGCGGCGUGCUUAACACAUGCAAGUCGAACGGAACUUUUCUCCCGAAGAAGCGGAGUGCUUGCACAAAGUAGAUUCAUUUGAAAAGUUUAGUGGCGGACGGGUGAGUAACGCGUGGGUAACCUGCCUUACACAGGGGGACAACAGUUGGAAACGACUGCUAAUACCGCAUAAGCGCACAGUACCGCAUGGUACAGUGUGAAAAACUCCGGUGGUGUAAGAUGGACCCGCGUCUGAUUAGCUAGUUGGUGAGGUAACGGCCCACCAAGGCGACGAUCAGUAGCCGGCCUGAGAGGGUGAACGGCCACAUUGGGACUGAGACACGGCCCAAACUCCUACGGGAGGCAGCAGUGGGGAAUAUUGGACAAUGGGGGAAACCCUGAUCCAGCGACGCCGCGUGAGUGAAGAAGUAUUUCGGUAUGUAAAGCUCUAUCAGCAAGGAAGAAAAUGACGGUACUUGACUAAGAAGCCCCGGCUAACUACGUGCCAGCAGCCGCGGUAAUACGUAGGGGGCAAGCGUUAUCCGGAUUUACUGGGUGUAAAGGGAGCGUAGACGGUUUGGCAAGUCUGAAGUGAAAGCCCAGGGCUUAACCCUGGGACUGCUUUGGAAACUGUUAAACUAGAGUGCAGGAGAGGUAAGUGGAAUUCCUAGUGUAGCGGUGAAAUGCGUAGAUAUUAGGAGGAACACCAGUGGCGAAGGCGGCUUACUGGACUGUAACUGACGUUGAGGCUCGAAAGCGUGGGGAGCAAACAGGAUUAGAUACCCUGGUAGUCCCCU